rnacentral:snRNA from 1 species
GGAUGUAAGAGUGAUCUGACCCUGACAUCCAUUACCCCAGUGAUUAAGUGGGCUGAUCUGGUUAAUCUGGCUGGACAGCCGGGUGUCCUCUUUCCCUCUCACGGCUCCACGAACGUCUCUCUUGAAGCUGCGUGUGUGGUCGAAGAGGAGGAUUUUCCCGAAAAGAUCAGGACAAGGUAAACUAGUAGCUGCACUUCCCAUCUGGAACCUCUAAACAAGCUCUCAAGGAUAGGUUUGCCGUGGGUCAUCUGUCCACGCUGGCAUUCAUUUCAGCUCAUGAAAUUCCAGAAAUUUUAAUG